rnacentral:rRNA from 1 species
GACGACCAUAGAGCGUUGGAACCACCUGAUCCCAUCCCGAACUCAGCAGUGAAACGAUGCAUCGCCGAUGGUAGUGUGGGGAUUCCCCAUGUGAGAGUAGGUCAUCGUCAAGAU